rnacentral:rRNA from 1 species
AACGAACGCUGGCGGCAUGCCUAACACAUGCAAGUCGAACGAGAUCUUCGGAUCUAGUGGCGCACGGGUGCGUAACGCGUGGGAAUCUGCCCUUUGCUUCGGAAUAACAGUUAGAAAUGACUGCUAAUACCGGAUGAUGUCUUCGGACCAAAAGAUUUAUCGGCAAAGGAUGAGCCCGCGUAGGAUUAGGUAGUUGGUGGGGUAAAGGCCUACAAGCCGACGAUCCUUAGCUGGUCUGAGAGGAUGAUCAGCCACACUGGGACUGAGACACGGCCCAGACUCCUACGGGAGGCAGCAGUGGGGAAUAUUGGACAAUGGGCGAAAGCCUGAUCCAGCAAUGCCGCGUGAGUGAUGAAGGCC